AGAGUUUGAUCAUGGCUCAGAACGAACGCUGGCGGCAUGCCUAACACAUGCAAGUCGAACGAGACCUUCGGGUCUAGUGGCGCACGGGUGCGUAACGCGUGGGAAUCUGCCCUUGGGUUCGGAAUAACAGCGAGAAAUUGCUGCUAAUACCGGAUGAUGACGUAAGUCCAAAGAUUUAUCGCCCAAGGAUGAGCCCGCGUAGGAUUAGCUAGUUGGUGAGGUAAAGGCUCACCAGGGCGACGAUCCUUAGCUGGUCUGAGAGGAUGAUCAGCCACACUGGGACUGAGACACGGCCCAGACUCCUACGGGAGGCAGCAGUGGGGAAUAUUGGACAAUGGGCGAAAGCCUGAUCCAGCAAUGCCGCGUGAGUGAUGAAGGCCUUAGGGUUGUAAAGCUCUUUUACCCGGGAUGAUAAUGACAGUACUGGGAGAAUAAGCUCCGGCUAACUCCGUG
rnacentral:rRNA from 1 species